AAAAAGGUUAGUUAAUCAAGCUAAUGGGUUCAUACCCCAUUCAUAGGGGCAUCAAUCCUCUCCUUUUUA
rnacentral:tRNA from 1 species